rnacentral:rRNA from 1 species
CAGUAGCCGCGGUAAUACGAGGGGUGCAAGCGUUAUUCGGAUUGAUUGGGUGUAAAGGGUGUGCAGACGGCUUAUUAAGUCACUUGUUAAAUUCUUCGGCCUAACUGAAGGUCUGCAAGUGAUACUGAUGAGCUAGAGGGUGGAAGAGAGAAGUGGAAUUCUCGGAGUAGCGGUAAAAUGCGUAGAUCUCGAGAGGAACACCAAUGGCGAAGGCAGCUUCUUGGUCCAUUCCUGACGUUCAUACACGAAAGCGUGGGGAGCAAACAGGAUUAGAUACCCGCGUAGUCCCUGUCUCUUAUAA